GCAUGACACAGACCCUAUCCUCCACAAAAGGCCAUGGCAUGCCAAGAGGAAAUUUUUUCAGAGGCUAUUCUAAUAAGCCUCUUUGAUUUUGACGUGCCGCGCCACUUAUCCUCCGAGAUAAGGGCGUGGCACGGAGGGUGUUAAUUUUGGGAUAUUUUAAUUAAAAUGUUGGGUAGACCAAAAAUUUUCCCCUUUUAACACACGAUCCCCCUUUUAAACACCAUAAAUUACAAAUUUCCCUCUCCGUUUCAUAACCCUAGCGUGCUACCCCUCCCAAAUCUUUCAAACCUCUGAAAUGUGUCACGCCAUAAAUCCACACCAAGCUCAUUUCUUUCUCCUCUAUGACUUCAAGCCAGGUAUUAUGAAAAGCAGAGCACAGAAAGGGAAAGGUGUUGCUGGGCCUUCAAAAAUAUCCAAGAAGAGAGUUCGUCCAACCACCCGAGUACCUAGAGCCCCAGCUGUCCCAAGAGGUCAGACCCAUAGUUAUGGGUCUAGGUGGGUGGAAGAAGCAGGAAAGAAAUAGUACAAAAAGAAUAAUGUCAAAGUAUGCCCCGAAAGAAUUCAUUGACCGAGAGAGUCUGCUUAGAAUGUUCUUGAUCAUAAUUUGGAGGAUUGAAAAGCUGCGUAUGAACUUUAUUCUUUAGCAGCCUACUGAGUGCAAGUUGCACUUGAUUAGGGAAUUCUAUGCCGACUGGGACCUCAAAGAUCUUGAUUCAGAAAAGAUUCGCGGGCAAGUGGUGACCUUCAGUGCAUAUGACUUGAAUGCCAUUUUGGGCACUCCUAAGGCUGACUCACUUAAGCUAAGGCAGCUGAACAUCACUCUACCCUACACCAACAUUACACAUCUAUUAUGCAGUAAUAGAUCAAUAGUUAGGUGGAUUCAUCACCGAGAGGGAGGCUAUCAUAUGACAUUUCUCUAUGUACAAAUGAAUAGAAAAGCUAGAAUGUGGUUAAAGAUCAUCUAUCUUUGUCUCAUUAUUGGGAAGGACAUGACAGAAGUCACUCGGGAUCGAGUUUGCUUAAUUUAUGCACUCAUGCAAGAGGGCUUCACGAUAAAUAUGGGUGCAGUGAUUAUUUCAGCUAUGAAGAAUGCCCUCUUUCAUCAGGGAUGCAAGUAUGGUUUUGGUGGAUUUCUGACUCGAUUCCUGAGGUGCUAUCAGAUAGAGGAGAGGGCCCUGGACCACAUACCUGUGUUAGACAAAUGUUCGGUGGAUGUGACCUAAACGUGGGGUCUUGAUAUUUCUCAUAGGUUAAUGCUGACACUACCCGAGCGUCAUGCUCAUCACAACUUACAUGUAUGGGAUACAGAUAUUAUAGUUGUGAGAAGGUACGUGCAGUGGAGCUUGAUUAACCACUUGGUCAGCAUGCUAGGACUCUCUUGAGGAUAGGCCUACAGUUUGUAGAGCCAGUAGAUAAUGAUAUUCCUACAGAUGAGGAGACAACUGAGGGAUUUGGACUUUGAGUUCGAUGAUGGUGUAGACCCAAACUUAGGCGAUAAGUCUUUGGGACCAGAUGUUGAUGAUUGCAUGGACGAGGUGUGAACAUGGAGUUUUAAAUCACCUUAUAACUUUGUUUUGUCUUAUAUCUGCAAACACUGGGGAUAGUGCUACAUUUUAUGUGUGGGGUGGUCGCAAUUCUCAUUUUUUGUUAUCUAUUCUGGAUGGAUUUUUAUAGAUGUUAUUCAAUUGGAUAUUAUUUUUGAUUUGGUGCUAAGAUACAUUCUGAUACAUUCAGUCUAUAAUAGUUAGUAAUUUUUCUAUUUUCU